CAGAGUUCUCGCCCUCACGGGUAGACCUCCCACCCACUGUGAUUGUUACCGUCGUUGCUUUGGCGGGCCGCUGGGCCCAGCUCAGCCACCGGCCCCGGCUGGUGCGCGCCCGCCAGAGGCUCCGCAAACUCUUGAUGUUAACGUCGUCUGAGUACUAUAUAAUAGUUA
rnacentral:misc_RNA from 1 species